CUUUUUAGGACAGACAAAUCUUAAAAAGAUCAAUGCCGGUGUCCAGGGUCCGAAUUUUGGCAAAAAUCAGAUAGCUACUCUGCUCCAGAGUCACCCUUCAGGUGUACAUAUAUUUUUUUAUUUUUUUUUCCCCACACUCCGUUUUGUGAAUAGGGACCUACUGAUAGGCUGAGAACAUCAGCUGAAUUUCAGAGGCAGAGCUGGUUGGCGCUGGACAGAGCCCUUUGUGGUUUAACUUUUCAUUGAUGGUUUAAUCCUAGAAGUUGAGCCAGGGAUCUCCUGGCACCAUAACUUCAGAGUGCUGCUUUAGCGAGUUCAAAAAUAAAGGUGAUCGAACCUGAUUA